GUAUAUUGUGCCUACUUUGGGGAUACCCUGAUGUCAACGGUUUGUCUAUGUGUAUGGUGCCUACUUUGGGGAUACCCUGAUGUCAAAGGUUUGUCUAUGUGUAUGGAGCCUACUUUGGGGAUAACCUGAUGUCAACGGUUUGUCUAUGUGUAUGGUGCCUACUUUGGGGAUACCCUGAUGUCAAAGGUUUGUCUAUGUGUAUGGUGCCUACUUUGGGGAUACCCUGAUGUCAAAGGUUUGUCUAUGUGUAUGGUGCCUACUUUGGGGAUACCCUGAUGUCAAAGGUUUGUCUUUGUGUAUGGUGCCUACUUUGGGGAUACCCUGAUGUCAAAGGUUUGUCUAUGUGUAUGGUGCCUACUUUGGGGAUACCCUGAUGUCAAAGGUUUGUCUAUGUGUAUGGUGCCUACUUUGGGGAUACCCUGAUGUCAACGGUUAGUCUAUGUGUAUGGUGCCUACUUUGGGGAUACCCUGAUGUCAACGGUUUGUCUAUGUGUAUGGUGCCUACUUUGGGGAUACCCUGAUGUCAACGGUUUGUCUAUGUGUAUGGUGCCUACUUUGGGGAUACCCUGAUGUCAACGGUUUGUCUAUGUGUAUGGUGCCUACUUUGGGGAUACCCUGAUGUCAACGGUUUGUCUAUGUGUAUGGUGCCUACUUUGGGGAUACCCUGAUGUCAACGGUUUGUCUAUGUGUAUGGUGCCUACUUUGGGGAUACCCUGAUGUCAAUGGUUUGUCUAUGUGUAUGGUGCCUACUUUGGGGAUACCCUGAUGUCAAAG